UAAUACGGAGGGUGCAAGCGUUAAUCGGAAUUACUGGGCGUAAAGCGCACGUAGGCGGAUAUUUAAGUCAGGGGUGAAAUCCCCGGGCUCAACCUGGGAACUGCAUUUGAAACUGGCAAGCUAGAGUCUCGUAGAGGGGGGUAGAAUUCCAGGUGUAGCGGUGAAAUGCGUAGAGAUCUGGAGGAAUACCGGUGGCGAAGGCGGCCCCCUGGACGAAGACUGACGCUCAGGUGCGAAAGCGUGGGGAGCAAACAGGAUUAGAUACCCUGGUAGUCCACGCUGUAAACGAUGUCGAUUUGGAGGUUGUGCCCUUGAGGCGUGGCUUCCGGAGCUAACGCGUUAAAUCGACCGCCUGGGGAGUACGGCCGCAAGGUUA
rnacentral:rRNA from 1 species